rnacentral:rRNA from 1 species
AACUACGGGCCAGCAGCCGCGGUAAUACGUAGGGUGCAAGCGUUAAUCGGAAUUACUGGGCGUAAAGCGUGCGCAGGCGGUGAUGUAAGACAGGUGUGAAAUCCCCGGGCUUAACCUGGGAACUGCACUUGUGACUGCAUCGCUGGAGUACGGCAGAGGGGGAUGGAAUUCCGCGUGUAGCAGUGAAAUGCGUAGAUAUGCGGAGGAACACCGAUGGCGAAGGCAAUCCCCUGGGCCUGUACUGACGCUCAUGCACGAAAGCGUGGGGAGCAAACAGGAUUAGAAACCCGAGUAGUCCAAC